rnacentral:lncRNA from 1 species
GUCAUCAUAUAGGGAGGUCUGACAAACCUAGUGAUUCAGAGAAAUACAACUGAAUGAGUCUGAUCGUGGAGGGCUAUACUCGAACUGUAAGAUAAGACUGAUAGAUUAGUGGGUUAUUCCCUAAGGUCGGGAGCUACCAUGCAUCACAAAAGUACCCCGGCCGUCGCGUAUAUGUGUCUUUGGUUGAGUUGAGGGAAUCUAUGAGGACUUGGCCAUUAAUGAAUUGUCUGUCCACUCUUGUAGUGACAUAGUAUCAGGCCUCCUAACCAUGUACCUCAGAGUAGAAUGGUACCAAAUGAUGAAGAAGUAUAUAGUAUAAGACAUGUAUAGCAUUUCAUCCUUGUGACUGAUCUAUUGUGAUUGAUUUAGAUUAACCUUUGAUAUUAUGGUCUUGUGUGUUUUUCCUGUUUGUGCUGAUUUGACUAACUGCGUGUUCUCCUCACUUAUCUUAUAUCGUUACAUAAUUUCGAUACUCAUCAUUCGUUGUUUGUGUUUGGCGUUUGCGAUGGACGCAUACGAGUUGUAAGCUGCAGGUGAUGACUAGUACCAUCAGAGAGGCAUAAGUCAUCUUGUCUUGAAGACUCUUAUUUUUUGUAUUGUGUUCAUGUUAUUUUGAGCGUCUUUUAUUUUGAGAAUUUCCGCUCUGAUAAUGAUAUCGGGUUGGGACUACAUUUGCAUAUAAUAUUAAACUUAUGUAUGUGUACUUCAAAAAGGAUUUUGUUGUCUGAUAUUAUGAUUUUGAGUUGUUAAGUUUGAUGGAAAUUUUUU